AGAGGGAGGGUGAGGCGAGAUCCACCUCCGCGGGAAAUAAUGGGGAUGAUAAUAAAACAGAGGGGGGAAAACCCGUCCGAGGGAAGCUGAAUGGAUGGAGCCAGAGAGACGUCACGGCCAGCCGCAGCCAUGAAGACUGAGCGCUCCAGCCUCCGGCGGCUCAGUCGCUCUCCAUCUCCCCAGCUGCUCGCUUCCUCGGUCGGCUUUUUUUUUGGGGAGAACGGACGCCGCGGCGACUCGCAGAAGACGGCGGAUCCCUGGAGAGACACUCAGCAGCCUCACAACACGUGGCUUACUGUAGGUCAGAACUUUGGGCCAUGUCACUUUGCCUGCGGCUUGAGAGGAUGGGUAGCCUUAGGGGUUGGUUGUUAUCUUUGGUUAUCUAGCUGUAUGAGUGAUGUACAUUCUUCAUAAAGCUAGAUAACCGAAAGUAACAAGAAUCCCAUUACACUCCUGAAAAGGCAUCAAGACCCCAAACGGGCCACCCUCAAAAAAAAGAACAAACUGCAAGAACAAGAACUGCAACACCAGAGAAGAAAAUGGACGACAUUUAAAAGGAGAUGGGAGCGGAACGCAGCAAAAGGUUACCAACCACACCACCACUGAAGGGAAGCUGGCAAAAAAAGGAGCCUGAAAAACAGAGAAGAAGGAGGAGGAGGGGUUGCUGUUGAUUCUGCCCUGCCUCUCUCCUCGCCCUCCUCUGCAUCGCCUCUUCCCUCCUCCUCCUAAUCCUCCUCCCUUCCUCCUCCGCUCCAUCCUCAGCCGACUGCCCCUUUUUCCUGUACAGCGAGACGCAGCCCGCGCCACCAUCUUAGAGCAACGCUGGCAUGAAAUGGAAGUGGGAAGACCAGUCAGUGCAGGUGUAUGUCUGUCGGUGUGCAGAAGGGGAUCCCAAACAGCCAGAGCAGACAAAGAGGAGGGACAGCAGGUCUCCUCCGUUUGCCGUCUUUCAGCCAGGACUAAAACAACGACGACGGCGCUGAUGUCUGCACGUGCUUCCUGCCGUGACUUUGGGACAUUGCCGUGCUGUUUGUACCUCUUUGAUUGCGGCUCUGCGAUGCGCUAUUUGACCCAAGCGGGACUGAGCAAAACGUCCACGGUGGACCGUGCAUGGCUGUGGGAAACAAAGACUCAGACAGAAGAUGAGCAGCUUGAGGUGUGGACAAACUGGUCCAUGAAUGUUGUGACUCUCGAGGGUGUGGCACUUCAUUUUGUAAUUCUUCUUCUUAUAUAUUCUAUCCUACAUAUGAAGAAUAUCACUUAGACAUGAAGCAAUGUAGUGUGUCUUCAACUAACAUAGGCUUGACUUGUAGGUUUAUUUGAAUGAGUUGUAGCCCAGGUUCUGUUUGAUUCCUGUUUUGUUAUAUAGUUGCUAGGACUCGGAGACACGUGAAUGUGAGACCCACGGCAGCAGUGAAUAAAUACUGCACUGCGAUUGGACAGCUCCGUGUGUCGGCUGACACAAUGGCGAAGGAAUGAGCUGUCGUCUUUAUACUCUAUGCAACUGUUUUAUCUUUUUUUUUUUUUUUUUUUUUUGGUUCUUUUAUUUUUAUUUUUGGUCUUGGAGCUCCUUUCAUCCUCAGGAUUUUUAUUUUUGGGCUACCAGUUUUAUAGAUAUUCCUUCAGACAUCAUGAAGAGAAAUGGUUUUUAAAAGGAGACUACUUUCCCCCGGUUUGUUAAUAUACUGCUACAGAAAUGACAGUCAGAGUGUGUGUGUUUGCGUGUGUGAGUGUGUGACAAAUGACACAAUACAGCUCAGUUUCAUAUGCAUUUGGAUCUCAUAUUUGCAGCCUUAACAGACUUUAAUUCGCAGCCGUGAGCCACACAGUCUGAGUAAACGGCCGCCCGCACGUUUAAUAUUCCUGAUGGCAGGAGUGUGUUUGAUCAGCAGGAAGUGGCAGAGCCAGGGCUCAUGGCGGCGAGUAUACAGAACACGCCACACUAUUAAACCUUCCCCAGCGCUCUCUGGAACGCAGCAGCUUGGUUCAGUUACCUGCGUCGCUGUAACGAUCCGUCGUUGGGUGAGACAUGAUAAAUACAUUGGCUUCAAACACCGCCUUAAUUUCCUGUCCUUGACAUUAACACACACACACACACACACACACACACACACACACACACAUGCACACGCACACACACACACACACACACACAAACACACACACACACAUGCCCAAACGCAAUAAAGCAAGUACUAUCGCAGCCUAAUUCAUUCUAUAUUAAUUUUCGGGAAGUGGCAAUUUUUUUAUUACGAUUGAUAAUCUAUGCAAAUCUUUUAAAUAUUACUUUAAACAAUCUUGUGUCUAUGCAGUGCUUUUGCAAUUGAUUUGAGAGGAGACUAUCUUGGUUCUAAUUUAGAAAAUGUAUUCUUUGGAUAAUCAUGCACAUCCCAGUGCUCGAGACAAUUACUUAUCUGCCUGGAUAAGCUUGAAAUUAUGUUUUUAAUCUUAAG